AAGGGUCCGCAGGCGGAUUUAUAAGUCAGUGGUGAAAUCCUAUCGCUUAACGAUAGAACUGCCAUUGAUACUGUAAGUCUUGAAUUCGGUCGGAGUGGGCGGAAUGUGUAGUGUAGCGGUGAAAUGCAUAGAUAUUACACAGAACACCGAUAGCGAAGGCAGCUCACUAGGCCUGAAUUGACGCUCAGGGACGAAAGCGUGGGGAUCAAACAGGAUUAGAUACCCCUUGU
rnacentral:rRNA from 1 species